rnacentral:rRNA from 1 species
GAGGAAUAUUGGUCAAUGGACGAAAGUCUGAACCAGCCAAGUAGCGUGCAGGAUGACGGCCCCCCGGGUUGUAAACUGCUUUAGUUCGGGAAUAACGACGGGGACGUGUCCCUGGAACGAAUGUACCGAAAGAAUAAGGACCGGCUAACUCCGUGCCAGCAGCCGCGGUAAUACGGAAGGUCCGGGCGUUAUCCGGAUUUAUUGGGUUUAAAGGGAGCGUAGGCGGACUGUUAAGUCAGCGGUUAAAGAGUGUGGCUCAACCAUACGAUGCCGUUGAAACUGGUGGUCUUGAGUGCACACAGGGAUGCUGGAACUCGUGGCGUAGCGGUGAAAUGCUUAGAUAUCACGAUGAACUCCGAUCGCGAAGGCAGGUGUCCGGGGUGUAACUGACGCUGAGGCUCGAAAGUGUGGGUAUCAAACAGGAUUAGAUACCCUGGUAGUCCACACAGUAAACGAUGAAUACUCGCAGUUUGCGAUAUAGUGUAAGCUGCCAAGCGAAAGCAUUAAGUAUUCCACCUGGGGAGUACGCCGGCAACGGUG